rnacentral:rRNA from 1 species
UGGGGAAUAUUGGGCAAUGGGCGAAAGCCUGACCCAGCGACGCCGCGUGGGUGAUGAAGGCCUUCGGGUUGUAAAGCCCUGUCAUGCGGAAGGAACGACCCUGAGACGCAUACUCUCAGGGAGUGACGGUACCGCAGGAGGAAGCACCGGCUAACUCCGUGCCAGCAGCCGCGGUAAUACGGAGGGUGCAAGCGUUGUUCGGAAUUAUUGGGCGUAAAGGGCGCGUAGGCGGUAAUGUAAGUCAGAUGUGAAAUACUCCGGCUCAACCGGAGAACAGCGUCUGGAACUGCGUAAGUGGGGUACAGAGGAGAGAGACGGAGUUCACGGUGUGGAGGUGAAAGUCGUGGAUAUCGGGGGGAAAACCAGUGGCGAAGGCGGUUUCCUGGUCGGAUACUGACGCUGAGGCGCGAAAGCGGGGGGGG